UAGGGAAUCUUCGGCAAUGGACGAAAGUCUGACCGAGCAACGCCGCGUGAAUGAUGAAGGCCUUCGGGUUGUAAAAUUCUGUUAUAAGGGAAGAAAGACACGAGUAGGAAAUGGCUCGUGAGUGACGGUACCUUAUGAGAAAGCCACGGCUAACUACGUGCCAGCAGCCGCGGUAAUACGGAGGGUCCAAGCGUUAUCCGGAUUUAUUGGGUUUAAAGGGAGCGUAGAUGGGUUGUUAAGUCAGUUGUGAAAGUUUGCGGCUCAACCGUAAAAUUGCAAUUGAUACUGGCAGCCUUGAGUAUAGUUGAGGUAAGCGGAAUUCGUGGUGUAGCGGUGAAAUGCUUAGAUAUCACGAAGAACUCCGAUUGCGAAGGCAGCUCACUGGAGUGUCACUGACGCUGAUGCUCGAAAGUGUGGGUAUCAAACA
rnacentral:rRNA from 1 species